rnacentral:rRNA from 1 species
CCUACGGGGGGCUGCAGUGAGGAAUAUUGGUCAAUGGGCGUAAGCCUGAACCAGCCAAGUCGCGUGAGGGAUGAAGGUUCUCUGGAUCGUAAACCUCUUUUAUCAGGGAGUAAAGUGCGGGACGUGUCCCGUUUUGUAUUUACCUUAUGAAUAAGGAUCGGCUAACUCCGUGCCAUCCGCCGCGGUAAUACGGAGGAUCCGAGCGUUAUCCGGAUUUAUUGUGGUUAAAGGGUGCGUAGGCGUCCUUUUAAGUCAGAGGUUAAAGUCUGUGGCUCAACCAUAGAAUUGUCGUUGAAACUGGGAGGCUUGAGUAUGUUAGAGGCAGGCGGAAUGCGUGGUGUAGCGGUGAAAUGCUUAGAGAUCACGCAGAACCCCGAUUGCGAAGGCAGCCGGCCAAGCCAUGACUGACGCUGAUGCACGAAAGCGUGGGGAUCAAACAGGAUUAGAUACCCUGGUAGUC